rnacentral:misc_RNA from 1 species
UUGGUUUUGGAGAGAAAAUGGAAGGUAUGCGCUCUGUUUUAUAAAUGGACUAUUCUCUUGUGAGCUGUGUGCUAAAUGUAGCUUGUGCUUUUGAGUAGUUGAUAUGCAAAAGAGCUCUCUUUCGGCUAUAGUAGCUCUUUUGUAUAAACUGGUUUUAACUGUUUUCCUGUGGAGUUAGUUUAUGAAGAUGUUCAUUUUUCUUGUUAGAUGAGUUCGAUCAAGUGUGCAUCUGGAUGUUUUAUGGAACUCUGACUAUCACAUUUUGUUUAAUCUAAAUGCGAUAGGAAUCAGUAAUUAUCAUAGUGAGAAUUAGAAAAAUGUGUUAUAUAUGAAAUUGAAGUGAAUAAUUGAAUAUUUUUGUUUGUACAAUUGGGUUGGUAAUUAUUUUAAUCCUCUUUCUUAUUAGCAGAAAACACUUGUCACUCUUUGGAAUACUUGGAAUGAUGGUUUCUGUGAUAUGGUUUUCUUGAUACUUUUGCAAUGUCUUCCCUUUUUUGUUGCAGAUAUCUGUUGUUGCAAUUCUAGUCAUUGCAUUUUCUCUUGAUUUACUUAAACUGGGGUUAAAGUAGUGUCUUUUAUCUGAUGAACUAUACGUGAUUUAAUUUAUUUGAAGUUCUGGUUGUGCAAUUUCUUCUAGUAAUCAUUCUGGUAUGCUGAGGAUUGAAAUAGUGUUACAGAAUGGCACUGUGUUUCUGCACAACACAGUGCUGAAACUUUAAUGUAAGGGAGCUGUGGUCGUUUUAGUAUUAGUGAUGGGGGAAGAUGGAAGCAGUUUUCGUCCUUUUCUUGAGAUGGCAAUAUUAUUUGGUUGGGUGAAGCUAUACCAGUCCCAGUAGUAGUCUUGUGCUUGUUGGUUAUUGUCAAGAAUAUAGGUCAUCUCAUGGAUGAUGGACAAAGUUGUAAUUGCCUUUGUGCCUUCCAGUGAUGAGGCACUUUGGAUGUCCAUAUCAUCUUAUUCUUAAAGUCAAACUUAUAGUUCAUUAAAAUUUCGUUACUACAAUUGAGGACUAUGAGAAUGUAAAUGAAAGCAAAAUUUGGAGCUUCUAAGUGGAAAUAGAAAACUGCUACAGUUGACAAGUGCCAUUAUCAGAUUAUGUAACUAUGCGUUACCCUUGGGUCACAAUAGGAAUGGGUAAAGUUGCUUUGUUUAUUUGUCUUACUUUGUCUUCUAUCUUCACCUUGUUUGGUUUCCCAUCAGGCAUGAAGCCUUACAUUCCAAGUGCACAAUAUGAUGCAUCAAGCUCCAUUUAGAACACAAAAUAAAAUUAAAGGAAAAGAAG